GAUGAAGAACGUAGUGAAAUGCGAUAAGUAAUGUGAAUUGCAGAAUUCAGUGAAUCAUCGAAUCUUUGAACGCACAUUGCGCCCCUUGGUAUUCCGAGGGGCAUGCCUGUUCGAGCGUCAUUAUAACCCCUCAAGCUCAGCUUGGUGUUGGGGCCUGCUGCACUGGCAGCCCUUAAAAUCAGUGGCGGCGCCAUCUGGCUCUAAGCGUAGUAAUUUCUCUCGCUAUAGAGUCCCGGUGGAUGCUUGCCAGCAACCCCCAACUUUCUAUGGUUGACCUCGGAUCAGGUAGGGAUACCCGCUGAACUUAAGCAUAUCAAUAAGCGGAGGA
rnacentral:misc_RNA from 1 species